GAAAGUAGAGGUCGCGUGACCGAUGAGUAGUUCGUCUGACGUUCAUACACGAGAGAGGGCGGAUGAAAGGCGGGAACGCCGAAGUGAAAAGGUCUUGUAUGAGGAUCUUUUUGCUGGGCGCAAGUCAAAGAGGCUUGCGACUGUCAUCGGGUAAGAUGGAGGGCUACUA
rnacentral:ncRNA from 1 species